GGAAGGCAGCAGUGGGGAAUAUUGCACAAUGGGCGAAAGCCUGAUGCAGCAACGCCGCGUGAGGGAAGACGGUUUUCGGAUUGUAAACCUCUGUCUUUGGUGAAGAAUAAUGACAUUAGCCGAGGAGGAAGCCACGGCUAACUACGUGCCAGCAGCCGCGGUAAUACGUAGGUGGCAAGCGUUAUCCGGAAUUACUGGGUGUAAAGGGAGCGCAGGCGGGAAAGCAAGUCAGCGGUGAAAUGUAUGGGCUCAACCCAUGAACUGCCGUUGAAACUGUUUUUCUUGAGUGGAGUAGAGGCAAGCGGAAUUCCGAGUGUAGCGGUGAAAUGCGUAGAUAUUCGGAGGAACACCAGUGGCGAAGGCGGCUUGCUGGGCUCUAACUGACGCUGAGGCUCGAAAGUGUGGGGAGCAAACAGGAUUAGAUACCCUGGUA
rnacentral:rRNA from 1 species